GCUGUCACGUUUGGCUGGGGGGCAGCGGCGGGAGGUAAAUUUCUCUCCGUCUUCGCCUAUCAGUGCCGGGUCUGCGCAGCCACAGGUUCCGGACGUCUUGGCCCCGGGAAUAAAUAAAGACAUAAACCAACCCGGCUUUCUCCGGAGGAAUGAGGCGCAGUGGUGGAUGCUCGCAAACUUUUGCGCACCGCUGGAAACCCACUAGGUUGAGUUGCAAAACGUACCGCGUAGACGCCCCUGGUGGCGCCGAGAGAAGAGCUAGGCCUGCCCAGCACAGAGCCGGAGAGCGUCGGGCCUUCCGGAAGGGUCGACGAGAUGAGUUCCUACUUGACCUCUGAGCCGAGGUGGGCCGGAAACCGAGGCCUAGGCCCCGCCGGGGCUGCAAGGAAAAGGGGAAACUCCGAGCGUAGCGUCUUUUCCUUGUGGUUCCUUUCUCCGGCAUCCCGGACUGCGGGCCCUGCAGCCACCUGGACCGGCAUUCAAAGGAUUCUGCAAGUCCAGCUUCACAGACUGGCUUUCCCAGACGCUCCGAAGCCCGCACCACGAACAGAAUAAAGGAGAGACGAGAGAUCGCAACUAGAUUUGAGAAUCCUCGUUCUUUUCCCCAAUCGUUCGGGCAGUAAACUCCGGAGCCGGCUACAGCGCGCAUCCUCCCUUCCUCCUUUCGGAGAACUGUCGCUUUCCCGAAGCUGCUCCCAGCUGGGUUUUCUCCCGAAGUUUAUUUUUCUCAUUUUGCAAAAUUCCUGCCCUGAUUUUAAUACUGCAACAGGACAGCAGAGGUUCCUCUUUAAAAAGUCAAAACCCAAACCAAAGGGGCCCAUUGCUGUUGAUAAUUUUUUUCUUCACCUUCUCCUUCCGUUUUUAAGAAAGACACUUCCAAAACUACCCAUUGUUUUCCUCUCAAAAGAGAACUCGCUUUAAAAUGCAUCCCUUUCUAUUUCUCUCCGGAUAUGUCCCCACCUGACCCGGUGGCAACUUGUGGGGCGUGGGGGUAGUGAAAAAUAGAAGUGUGGACGGGGCUGGGAAAAUGAAUAAGAAUUAUAACAAUAGAAAUGAUGACAAAACUAAACUUUGACCAAUUCAAUUUGCAAAAGAAAGGGUUGGUCUGAGGGUGAGACAUUCCCUGGUUUCUCAAGGGGGUCACUUUCCCUCUCACCGAGUUAAAUCUGGCUCUGUUAUAUUUUUUCCAGGAACACAGUAUGUCUCUUCCCAAUGUUUUAUUCGGUUUCUGGUUUCCCCACUUUUGACCGGAAGUAUGUGGGAAGAAUACUGGCUGUUAUUAUUAUGAUUAUUGAGUGUCCAAUACUCUCCUCCAAUAUUUCCACCAAGAAUUAUUAUCGCUGCUCUCCUCA
rnacentral:lncRNA from 1 species